rnacentral:tRNA from 1 species
GGAGGGUAUAGCUCAGUGGUAGAGUGCCUGCUUAGAACGCACGAGGUCCUGGGUUCAAUUCCCAGUACCUCCA